GGAUCCAGACUUUGAUUCUGGCUCAGGAUGAACGCUAGCUACAGGCUUAACACAUGCAAGUCGAGGGGCAGCGGUAUCGAAAGCUUGCUUUCGGUAGCCGGCGACCGGCGCACGGGUGAGUAACGCGUAUCGAACCUGCCUCAUACUCGGGAAUAGCCUUGCGAAAGUAAGAUUAAUGCCCGGUGUUUUCAGAGUCCCGCAUGAGGCUUUGAACAAAGAUUUAUCGGUAUGAGAUGGCGAUGCGUCCCAUUAGCUUGUUGGCGGGGUAACGGCCCACCAAGGCAUCGAUGGGUAGGGGUUCUGAGAGGAAGGUCCCCCACAUUGGAACUGAGACACGGUCCAAACUCCUACGGGAGGCAGCAGUGAGGAAUAUUGGUCAAUGGGCGGAAGCCUGAACCAGCCAAGUAGCGUGCAGGAAGACGGCCCUCCGGGUUGUAAACUGCUUUUAGUUGGGAAUAAAACGGGGCUCGUGAGCCCCCUUGCAUGUACCAUCAGAAAAAGGACCGGCUAAUUCCGUGCCAGCAGCCGCGGUAAUACGGAAGGUUCGGGCGUUAUCCGGAUUUAUUGGGUUUAAAGGGAGCGCAGGCGGACCUUUAAGUCAGCUGUGAAAUACGGCGGCUCAACCGUCGAACUGCAGUUGAUACUGGAGGUCUUGAGUGCACACAGGGAUGCUGGAAUUCAUGGUGUAGCGGUGAAAUGCUCAGAUAUCAUGAAGAACUCCGAUCGCGAAGGCAGGCAUCCGGGGUGCAACUGACGCUGAGGCUCGAAAGUGCGGGUAUCAAACAGGAUUAGAUACCCUGGUAGUCCGCACAGUAAACGAUGAAUACUCGCGGUUUGCGAUACAGUGUAAGCCGCCAAGCGAAAGCGUUAAGUAUUCCACCUGGGGAGUACGCCGGCAACGGUGCAACUCAAAGGAAUUGACGG
rnacentral:rRNA from 1 species